UACGUAGGGUGCAAGCGUUGUCCGGAAUUAUUGGGCGUAAAGAGCUCGUAGGCGGUUUGUCACGUCGGAUGUGAAAACUCGGGGCUCAACCCCGAGCCUGCAUACGAUACGGGCAGACUUGAGUGUGGCAGGGGAGUCUGGAAUUCCUGGUGUAGCGGUGAAAUGCGCAGAUAUCAGGAGGAACACCGGUGGCGAAGGCGGGACUCUGGGCCAAUACUGACGCUGAGGAGCGAAAGCGUGGGGAGCGAAC
rnacentral:rRNA from 1 species